UUAGAGUUUGAUUUUGGCUCAGGAUGAACGCUAGCUACAGGCUUAACACAUGCAAGUCGAGGGGCAGCAUCAUCAAAGCUUGCUUUGAUGGAUGGCGACCGGCGCACGGGUGAGUAACACGUAUCCAACCUGCCGACAACUCUGGGAUAGCCUUUCGAAAGAAAGAUUAAUACCGGAUGGCAUAAUUAUUCCGCAUGGGAUAAUUAUUAAAGAAUUUCGGUUGUCGAUGGGGAUGCGUUCCAUUAGGCAGUUGGCGGGGUAACGGCCCACCAAACCAACGAUGGAUAGGGGUUCUGAGAGGAAGGUCCCCCACAUUGGAACUGAGACACGGUCCAAACUCCUACGGGAGGCAGCAGUGAGGAAUAUUGGUCAAUGGACGAGAGUCUGAACCAGCCAAGUAGCGUGAAGGAUGACUGCCCUAUGGGUUGUAAACUUCUUUUAUACGGGAAUAAAGUGAGCCACGUGUGGCUUUUUGUAUGUACCGUAUGAAUAAGGAUCGGCUAACUCCGUGCCAGCAGCCGCGGUAAUACGGAGGAUCCGAGCGUUAUCCGGAUUUAUUGGGUUUAAAGGGAGCGUAGGCGGGUUGUUAAGUCAGUUGUGAAAGUUUGCGGCUCAACCGUAAAAUUGCAGUUGAUACUGGCGACCUUGAGUGCAACAGAGGUAGGCGGAAUUCGUGGUGUAGCGGUGAAAUGCUUAGAUAUCACGAAGAACUCCGAUUGCGAAGGCAGCUUACUGGAUUGUAACUGACGCUGAUGCUCGAAAGUGUGGGUCUCAAAAGGGAUUAGAUCCCCUGGUAGUCCACACAGUAA
rnacentral:rRNA from 1 species